rnacentral:rRNA from 1 species
AGGGCACCACCAGGAGUGGAGCCUGCGGCUUAAUUUGACUCAACACGGGAAAACUCACCCGGCCCGGACACUGGAAGGAUUGACAGAUUGAGAGCUCUUUCUUGAUUCAGUGGGUGGUGGUGCAUGGCCGUUCUUAGUUGGUGGAGUGAUUUGUCUGGUUAAUUCCGAUAACGAACGAGACUCUAGCCUACUAAAUAGAUCGUCGGCUUACAAACGCCGGCGAGACUUCUUAGAGGGACAGGCGGUGAUUCAACCGCACGAAACAGAGCAAUAACAGGUCUGUGAUGCCCUUAGAUGUCCGGGGCCGCACGCGCGCUACACUGAAGUGAUCAGCGUGCUUUUUCAACCUACUCUGUCAAGAGUGGGGAACCCAAUGAACCUUCUUCGUGAUUGGGAUAGGGGAUUGUAAUUAUUCCCCUUGAACGAGGAAUUCCCAGUAAGCGCGAGUCAUAAGCUCGCGUUGAUUACGUCCCUGCCCUUUGCACACACCGCCCGUCGCUACUACCGAUUGAAUGUUUU